rnacentral:rRNA from 1 species
UACGGGGGGGCAAGCGUUGUUCGGAAUUACUGGGCGUAAAGGGCUCGUAGGCGGCCAACUAAGUCAGACGUGAAAUCCCCAGGCUCAACCUGGGAACUGCGUCUGAUACUGGAUGGCUUGAAUUCGGGAGAGGGAUGCAGAAUUCCAGGUGUAGCGGUGAAAUGCGUAGAUAUCUGGAGGAAUACCGGUGGCGAAGGCGGCAUCCUGGACCGACAUUGACGCUGAUGAGCGAAAGCUAGGGGAGCAAACGGG